rnacentral:rRNA from 1 species
CGUUGAUUACGUCCCUGCCUUUUGUACACACCGCCCGUCGCUACUACCGAUUGAAUGGCUAAGUGAGGCUUUCGGACUGCCUUAGGGAGGGUGGCAACACCCACCCAGAGGCGGAAAGUUAUCCAAACUUGGUCAUUUAGAGGAAGUAAAAGUCGUAACAAGG